UUGAGUUUAGCUCAUAUUUAAACAAGACACUAAAUAUUUUUGCAAAAUCUGCAUUUUUAAGCCAUUUUACUACCACUUUUUCCAGAAAUUUCUUUCAAUUUCAGCUCUUUCAUAGUUUUUUAACGAAAUGUCCAAUCUUUUACCAAAUUUAAUUUUGAUGUGGCAGAGCUGAGCAUGAAAAACUUGCUGGAUCUUGUCUGGUAAAGUCAAAGAGUUCAUAACGCGGUUGUGUUUUGUUUUCGGAGUCUGCUGCCCCCAGGGGCUGCUGGCAGGGGCGUCAACCUGCUGAACAAACCUGCAGGCUUUCACACACAAGAUUACCUUUAGGUAACUGAGAUGCAAAAAUAAAAAAAAAGCUUGGAAUGAUCUCUUUAAAUCCCUUUUAUUUUGUUUUAAUUUUAUUUAUCCAGGCAUUUAAAGCAAUAUAUUUUUAUUGUCAACUGUUUAGGAUCAACUGAAUAAUCAGAAAAGCUGUUUUCAUCUGCAGAAAACAGCUUUUUUCCCCCUUUUUGUGGCUGCAGGAAUCUUCUUUGUGAUUUUAUGUCGGCUUUUCUUCCAUUUGGAUCUGGGUACAACAUUGUGUAAACUUUGUUUUUUUUUCAGGCCUGUGCUGGCCACAGCUGCUGAGGGGGCAGAUUAUGUACGGCAGUAAAACCAGGUUCUUUUAUUUUGAUAAAAGCUGCAGCUGCUGCAGAGCAGACAGGAGUGAUCAUGGAGCUGUCCACCAGCCUGAUCUUGGUGGCUCUCACCGCCGUUCUGCUCUGGCUGCUGAACCUCAGGAACAACAGGAAGCACCGCUUGCCCCCGGGCCCCCCCGCGCUGCCCCUCAUAGGAAACCUGCUGCAGUUG